rnacentral:rRNA from 1 species
UGGGGAAUCUUGCGCAAUGGACGAAAGUCUGACGCAGCGACGCCGCGUGGGUGAUGAAGGCCUUCGGGUUGUAAAGCCCUGUGGGGAGAGACGAAUAAGUAGAGGCGAAUACCCUCUAUGAUGACGGUAUCUCUUUAGCAAGCACCGGCUAACUCUGUGCCAGCAGCCGCGGUAAGACAGAGGGUGCAAACGUUGUUCGGAAUUACUGGGCGUAAAGCGUGUGUAGGCGGCCACGUAAGUCGGAUGUGAAAGCCCCAGGCUCAACCUGGGAAGUGCACUCGAUACUGCGUGGCUUGAGUAUCGGAGAGGUUGGUGGAAUUCUCGGUGUAGAGGUGAAAUUCGUAGAUAUCGAGAGGAACACCGGUGGCGAAGGCGGCCAACUGGACGAAUACUGACGCUGAGACACGAAAGCGUGGGGAGCAAACAG